rnacentral:rRNA from 1 species
AACGAACGCUGGCGGCAUGCCUAACACAUGCAAAUCGAACGAAGCCUUCGGGCUUAGUGGCGCACGGGUGCGUAACGCGUGGGAAUCUGCCCUUGGGUUCGGAAUAACAGUUAGAAAUGACUGCUAAUACCGGAUGAUGUCUUCGGACCAAAGAUUUAUCGCCCAAGGAUGAGCCCGCGUAGGAUUAGGUGGUUGGUGGGGUAAUGGCCCACCAAGCCGACGAUCCUUAGCUGGUCCGAGAGGAUGAUCAGCCACACUGGGACUGAGACACGGCCCAGAAUCCUACGGGAGGCAGCAGUGGGGAAUAUUGGACAAUGGGCGAAAGCCUGAUCCAGCAAUGCCGCGUGAGUGAUGAAGGCCUUAGGGUUGUAAAGCUCUUUUACCAGGGAUGAUAAUGACAGUACCUGGAGAAUAAGCUCCGGCUAACUCCGUGCCAGCCGCCGCGGUAAAAC